UUGCAAAGAUGUGGGAAUCAGGAAAUUGGAGGCCUGCAUUCAAGCUGCUUUCUGUUAUGCCCAAGUAAAAUACCAUUGACAAUGGUGGGACAGGAUGUAUUUCCUGAGAAGGUGGUAGCUUCUGUAAACAAAAGCCUUCUGGUUGGUAACUGACAUCGAUGAUUACUAAAGUACCUG